ACCAACCCCGCCUCCCGGGCGUUCGCAAUGACUCUUCUCCCACCAGGUUUUCUCCAUGAUUUCCCAGGCUGCCCGUUUAGAUCCACAGGUAUGAUUCCACACCUUUAUAUGGUACAUUAUGCUUGGCAGAGGACUAAUGUAUGAUCAUUUAAUCAUAACAAGUGGGUGACAACAUAGCCUUGAGAAAAUUUGUAACUCUUUGAAUAUAACUUUAAAAUUCAAACUACAAAAAAACCAAAUUAACUCAUUGAAUGGCCUGUACCUCAUAAGGAAUAUGGAAGGAUAACCUAUUGGGAGGCAUUACUGAUGUGUGCCACGUGCUAAGCUUGAGCUUGCAAAGUGGAACGACAUGAAAAAUACGGAAGCUUCCCGUGACCAUAUACUAAAGGAAGGAUAAGAAUUGAUUGAAUGUGUUUAGGGUGAAGAAACAUCAGAAUAGUAAAGAACAACUUUGAAGAACUCACUCAUCUUUCUUCAUUCUUUUUACCUGGAUGUUGGAUAGUUUAUUUCCCAGACUCAGUUCUGCAGCUGUCAAUCCUGACAAAAACACUUUUCAAAGACAGAAUUAUUGGAAACGCCGAAAAGAAAAUGAAAAUGUGACAGCUGCCAUCCAGUGGGGUGUAGAUUCAUGUAUUCCUUGGGGAAAAUUAGAAUAUUCUUGGUUAUUGUGUUAAUUUUAUACUAUAUUUCUCAAAUUUCCUGUCCCUCCAACUGUGAUAGAAUGUGCUUUGUGUUCUGCUAUGUAUAUUCAGUGACAAAAUUGUGAUUCAAGUGAAACUUUAAAAUAAAUUCAGCCUCAUAGGUGCUAAAAAGAGACACCAGGAACAGAGAUGAUUACAGAAGCAGGAAAAAUUUUGGCAGCAUGAAGGGCUAGUUUCUUUAUAUACUAAAAUCAUAUAUUUAUGUGCCUAAUCAAAUCACUAUCACAUUUUCCAGCAUUGGAUACAGUAAAUAGAGGAGCUUGAUUUCAACACUGCUCAGAUUCAGGAUACAGGACUCUGU